rnacentral:rRNA from 1 species
GAUGAACGCUAGCUACAGGCUUAACACAUGCAAGUCGAGGGGUAACAAGAGGAAAGCUUGCUUUCUUUGUUGACGACCGGCGCACGGGUGAGUAACGCGUAUCCAACCUGCCUAUAACUAGGGAAUAACCUUGCGAAAGUAAGACUAAUACCCUAUGAUUUCCUUUGAUGACAUCAGAUUAGGAAUAAAGAUUUAUCGGUUAUAGAUGGGGAUGCGUCUGAUUAGCUUGUUGGCGGGGUAACGGCCCACCAAGGCAACGAUCAGUAGGGGUUCUGAGAGGAAGGUCCCCCACAUUGGAACUGAGACACGGUCCAAACUCCUACGGGAGGCAGCAGCGAGGAAUAUUGGUCAAUGGGCGGAAGCCUGAACCAGCCAAGUAGCGUGCAGGAUGACGGCCCUAUGGGUUGUAAACUGCUUUUAUACAGGAAUAAAGUUAGCCACGUGUGGUUAUUUGUAGGUACUGUAUGAAUAAGGACCGGCUAAUUCCGUGCCAGCCGCCGCGGUAA